UGUGCUAUUGGACAUGGAUUGGGCAUCUGGCAAAUAGUGCAUGAAGGACUCCCAUGACUAGGCUCCUAGUCUGAUAUUCUAAUAUGCAGUGGGAUGGAAAGGGCUUUGACAGGGUCCUCCUAUUGUCCUGGAGCCUUCUAGGACCAUCCACAUUGCUCAGUUCUUCCAGUUUAGCAGAGUAGGUUAUAAAAGGAGAGGGUAUAUAGGACCAGGAGCUAAAGUUUUACUUGCUAACCAUUUCCCAGAGCCUGGGACUGAGUGAGCCAAGGAAGAGGUGAAAAGGGACCAGGCAACAAGCCCUGAUUUACGACUUGAGGCUCUAAUUCCAGAAGCCACAUCAUCAGUUCCUUUGGGAAAGAGCUUUAGUUAGAUAAACUGUCCUUCCAGCUGUAGGACUGAGUCCCAGGCCUGCUCCCAAGGGCAAUGCUGUUUUACGCACCCUUAGGGGAAAGAAAACCUGGAGAGCAAAUUCUGGGAUGAGGUCAGGAUGGGAAUCAACCCUCCCAAUAGCCAGAUGAAUAUCUGAAACAAAAAUGCCAGGCCCCUAACUGUGGAAAGGGGUGAUAGAAUUCAUAACAAGAUGAUCUUACUGUCAGCUAGGCAAAAUGGAGUUCAUAAGAAGGGGCAAAUGGUCCUUCACUUUUAUUCCAUCCUUAUCUUACAACUCCUACAGACGCCAUAGGGGGUGAUUCUGCUCAGCCAUAUUUUAGGGUCUUUCCCAGCAUCCCAACUGACAUGGAGUCAUCUUAGUAGAAUUUUGGGAUGUCCUGUAUGGCCACAUCUUUCACAGGUGGUAGGUUUUACAAACACCUACAUUCUUCCCUUCUUUUUAGCAGAACUGGGUGGGUAGCAAUAUACAAAGUGGGCUCCUCUACUAGAUCCAGGGACGAACCAUGUUUGGGCUCAUUCAAACAUGAUGAUCCCAUUCUCAUUUGCUAACAAUUGACUCAGCAGUGGUCAUGUGGUCUUGCUCCCACCAAUGAGACCUGUGGCAAAAUCUUCUGGAAUCUUCUGGAAAGAGUUUUGUCUUUGAUGAGAGACACGAGAGGAGAAACUCUAGUCUCUCUUUUCUUUGUUUUCUAUGUCAUUCGGUGAGGAUGUGGCAUUUGGAGCUGUGGCAACUGUCUUGUCACCAUGAGGAGGCAGCAACAAACACUUCAGAGAAACUGACCCAGAUCCUUGAAAUUGUUGAGCAACUGAUCUAACCCUGCAUAUGCCAACUCGCCAAUUCCUGUUAAAGCAUUAAAAGUCCUUACUGUGUCAUCAAAUUUAAAAGUUUCCAGGGUGCCUCUGUUGAAAAGCGUCAGAGAAGAGCUAGCAUGGAUUUCAUGUGGUGCAUUGUACACAGCCCAAUGAUGCCCUUCGGUGACAGGAGAGGAUGAGUCACCGCCAGCUUUGGGGAUUGAGAAGAAAUGUCAAUGAAGCCAUGAAUAAUAGGCAAGGAAGAGAGAAGAUUGAGACACAGGGAAGAUGGCCACUGGAAGACAGAGGCAAAGAUAUGGGAACUUUGCUGCCAGAAGCCAAGGAAAGUGGAGCUACCAUAAGCUGAAAGAGGCAAAGCCCUAGAGCCUCCAGAGAGUAUAUGGUCCUGCUGACACCUGGAUUCCAGACUUUCAGCUUCAGUACUAUGAGAAUAAAUCUCUGUUGUUCCAAGACACUUAGUUUGUGGUAGUUUCUUAUGGCAGCCCUAGGAAAUUAAUACAGA